CUACGGGGCGCUGCAGUGAGGAAUAUUGCACAAUGGGGGGAACCCUGAUGCAGCAACGCCGCGUGGAGGAUGACGCAUUUCGGUGUGUAAACUCCUUUUAUAUGUCAAGAAAAUGACGGUAGCAUAUGAAUAAGCACCGGCUAACUCCGUGCCAGCAGCCGCGGUAAUACGGAGGGUGCAAGCGUUACUCGGAAUCACUGGGCGUAAAGGACGCGUAGGCGGGUUGGAAAGUCAGGUGUGAAAUCCUACAGCUUAACUGUAGAACUGCACUUGAAACUUCUAAUCCAGAGUAUGGGAGGGGGAGAUGGGAUUAGUGGUGUAGGGGUAAAAUCCGUAGAUAUCACUAGGAAUACCUAAAGCGAAGGCGAUCUCCUGGAACAUUACUGACGCUAAGGCGUGAAAGCGUGGGGAGCAAACAGGAUUAGAUACCCCUGUAGUC
rnacentral:rRNA from 1 species